UAGUCUACGCCGUAAACGAUGGAUACUAGUUGUUUGGCUUUCGGGCUGAGUGACUAAGCGAAAGUGAUAAGUAUCCCACCUGGGGAGUACGUUCGCAAGAAUGAAACUCAAAGGAAUUGACGGGGGCCCGCACAAGCGGUGGAGCAUGUGGUUUAAUUCGAUGAUACGCGAGGAACCUUACCAGGGCUUAAAUGUAGUAUGACAGACUGAGAGAUCGGUUUUUCUUCGGACAUAUUACAAGGUGCUGCAUGGUUGUCGUCAGCUCGUGCCGUGAGGUGUUAGGUUAAGUCCUGCAACGAGCGCAACCCCUAUCAUUAGUUGCUAACAGGUUAAGCUGAGGACUCUAAUGAGACUGCCGGUGCAAACCGCGAGGAAGGUGGGGAUGACGUCAAAUCAUCACGGCCCUUACGUCCUGGGCUACACACGUGCUACAAUGGCAGGUACAGAGGGCAGCUACCCCGCGAGGGGAUGCGAAUCUUCAAAGCCUGUCUCAGUUCGGAUCGC
rnacentral:rRNA from 1 species